GUAUGAUGGCGCGGUGGAUAAUACUUUUAUUUGUUUACAGCGUUGUGAAUGGACGAGAGAUGAAUCAUUACGUUUUAAAGAAUUGCUGUAAGGCUGGGAGGUUGUUGGCCCUUUUCGGACAAAACUGUACACGCGACCAUCCCAUCUCUUCUUCCGAUCAAUGCGGUUUCACCAAGGAGAAGUGCUGCUUAGCAACUGAAAUAGACCAAUUCUGUGAGGAUGGCAUGGAGAAGGCCAAGGAGCACGGGGUCUGAGAUGAACUUUCAUUCCCAGGAGACCCUCCGCAAGGCGUACUGUCUAA